rnacentral:tRNA from 1 species
UUUUCAAGUGUUUUGAAAGCACUAAAUUAGAAGUUUAAAUCUUCUAUUAAUUU